UACGGAGGGUGCAAGCGUUGUCCGGAUUUAUUGGGUUUAAAGGGUGCGUAGGCGGCUGUUUAAGUCAGUGGUGAAAGACCCCGGCUCAACCGGGGCAGUGCCAUUGAUACUGGGCAGCUUGAGUGUUGGAGGGGUACAUGGAAUUGAUGGUGUAGCGGUGAAAUGCAUAGAUACCAUCAGGAACACCGAUAGCGAAGGCAUUGUACUGGCCAACAACUGACGCUGAUGCACGAAAGCAUGGGUAGCGAACAGGAUUAGAUACCCUGGUAGUCCAUGCCGUAAACGAUGAUUACUCGCUGUUAUGGCUUUAUGUUGUAGCGGCCAAGCGAAAGCGUUAAGUAAUCCACCUGGGGAGUACGGUCGCAAGAUUGAA
rnacentral:rRNA from 1 species